rnacentral:rRNA from 1 species
UACGUAGGGCGCAAGCGUUGUCCGGAAUUAUUGGGCGUAAAGAGCUCGUAGGCGGCUUGUCACGUCGGUUGUGAAAGCCCGGGGCUUAACCCCGGGUCUGCAGUCGAUACGGGCAGGCUAGAGUGUGGUAGGGGAGAUCGGAAUUCCUGGUGUAGCGGUGAAAUGCGCAGAUAUCAGGAGGAACACCGGUGGCGAAGGCGACUACCUGGCCUGUUUCUUGACGCUGAGGCGCGAAAGCUAGGGGAGCAAACGGG